GGCUGUUCUAGUGUUCUUGAAGUUUUCAAUCACAAAUUGUAGCUACUCUACGUCGGAAUCCAUGGUGAAGAAGAGUAGAACAGUUACCUCUAAAGGAUACCCGAUGGUUAUGACUUCGUCUACACAAUGAGUAUCUGUCAAGGAUUGAUUGGGUCCUUCAAAGAAUUCUCAUGCUGGUACUGCUUCCAAGCAGGUUUCUGAGGGUUCUCGUUCGAGAGCCCAGGAUGAUGCUAGAAGAAGAUUGAUUUUUGCUGCCCAGAGAAUACCUGACCAUGGUCGGAAAAGGGUAGAAGGCAUACUGCUUAGAAUCCUAUACCGAAGUGGU
rnacentral:lncRNA from 1 species